rnacentral:rRNA from 1 species
GAUUAAGUUAUUAAGGGCGCACGGUGGAUGCCUUGGCACUAGAAGCCGAUGAAGGACGUUACUAACGACGAUAUGCUUUGGGUAGCUGUAAGUAAGCGUUGAUCCAGAGAUUUCCGAAUGGGGGAACCCAGCAUGAGUUAUGUCAUGUUAUCGACAUGUGAAUUUAUAGCAUGUCAGAAGGCAGACCCGGAGAACUGAAACAUCUUAGUACCCGGAGGAAGAGAAAGAAAAAUCGAUUCCCUGAGUAGCGGCGAGCGAAACGGGAAUAGCCCAAACCAACAAGCUUGCUUGUUGGGGUUGUAGGACACUCUAUACGGAGUUACAAAAGAACAUGUUAGACGAAUCAUCUGGAAAGAUGAAUCAAAGAAGGUAAUAAUCCUGUAGUCGAAAACAUAUUCUCUCUUUAGUCGAAAACAUAUUCUGUCGA